GGCCCAGAUCGUUUACCGUGAAAAAAUUAGAGUGUUCAAAGCAGGCAGAUUUAACUUUCUGCCACCGAAUACAUUAGCAUGGGAUAAUGGAAUAGGACCCUGUCCUCCUAUUUUCAGUU
rnacentral:rRNA from 1 species